CCGAGUUUACAACCCCCAAACCCCUGUGAACAUACCACUUGUUGCCUCGGCGGAUCAGCCCGCUCCCGGUAAAACGGGACGGCCCGCCAGAGGACCCCUAAACUCUGUUUCUAUAUGUAACCUCUGAGUAAAACCAUAAAUAAAUCA
rnacentral:misc_RNA from 1 species